UGGUUUGGAUCCAUUGCUGGUUAGCCAGUGUGAUCUUUUGGGGGUGUUAAAGAAUGUUAUUUUGUCAUGCUGCCAGAAUUGUUUUUUUUUUUUUUUUUUUUUUUUUUUUUUUGGUUCCUUCUCAUUUAGGUAGACUGUCAGAAGUCACAUAUGAGACUCAAGGCUGCCGUUCAGAUUCUUUAGUCCCACGGGGUGCUCCCUUGAUUUGAUUCUCUACCCCUUCUUCUAGGGAUGGGGCUUCCUGAGAGCCGAUCUGAAGUGAUUUUUACUUCUCUUCUGGAAUUUAGCAGAUCUACCAGGCUCCACACUGAUACUGGGCAGUGUCUGCAGAGUUCUGUGAUUUGAUCCAUCUUCAGGUUUCUCAGCCAUGGAUACCAGCUUCUGCUCUGGUAGAAGUAAGCAAAGGAGUGAAACAGAUUCCGUGAGGGUCCUUGGUUUAUUUUUGCUAAGUGUGCUGGUUUUGUGUCAGUUAGUCUCCAGCCGGGAUGUGGCACUUUCAAGAGUGCAUCAACUGCAGUAGUAUAGAUAGGAUACAAGCUUGCCCUAGGGCCAGGCAUUGGGUGAGGUCAUAGAGCUCUCAAGACAUUAUGUCCUUGGUCUUCAACUACCAGGGUGGAUAGAGAAGAACUGUCAGGCAGCAGAUGAGCAAGGCUGAGAACGUGCCCCAGAGUACAAGUCUUUCAACUAAGAAGAUACGUCGACUCACAGUUCCUUGGCUGUCCCAUGGAGCCAGCAGCAGCAAUCCCCCUCCUUCAAAGGAUGUAUGGAGUAUCUCAGCUUUCCUGGUUAAACGAGUCAUCAGAGGUCAAGCCACUUUCAAAGAAAUUAUGACUUUAAGAAGCAGAAGCCUUUCACGUGUAUUCACAAUUUAUAUCAAGCAUGGCAAAUUGAAGUGCAAAUUUGUUCAUCUAUGUGCCAACAAUUAUAGCUUUUUAUCCUUCUGUGACUUUCUCAAGCAAAACUUGAUGUGCAAUGAGAUUACCAACUGCCAGUCUAAAUAA
rnacentral:lncRNA from 1 species